rnacentral:rRNA from 1 species
UACAGAGGACUCAAGCGUUGUUCGGAAUUACUGGGCGUAAAGGGUGCGCAGGCCGCGCGGGCAGUCAAAUGUGUAAUUCAGGGGCUCAACCCCUGCACUGCGCUUGAUACUUCCGCGCUCGAGCUUUGGAGAGGAGUCUGGAAUUCUCGGUGUAGCAGUGAAAUGCGUGGAUAUCGAGAAGAACACUUAGGGCGUAGGCAAGACUCUGGACAAAUGCUGACGCUCAUGCACGAAGGCUAGGGUAGCGAACGGG